GCCAGGUGUGGUGGCGCAUGCCUGUGAUCCCAGCUACUCGGGAGGCUGAGGCAGGAGAAUCACUUGAACCUGGGAGGCUGAGGUUGCUGUGAGCCGAGAUCACGCCACUGCACUCCAGCCUGGGUGACAGAGUGAGACUCUGUCUCAA
ensembl:misc_RNA Metazoa_SRP Metazoan signal recognition particle RNA